UUUCCCUCCCUGUCUCCCCAUGACAAAGCCAACGUCUGACGGUGUUCGGUGAUGGAAUGGAUGCAUAAGAGUGAGAAUAGUGAUCGACCGAUAUAUCGGCCGGCCGAUCAGCGUUUUUUUACGUGUAUCGUAUCGGCCGAUUAUUAUUAUUUAUUUUUUUGCCGUGAUUUACAGACAAUAAAGACAAUAAAUGUUAAUUAUUUUAAAUUGAGACGUUGUAACAUUUGUUAAACUCGAGGGGCGGCACCAAGCAUGCAGGGGAGGCCCAGAAUAUACACAAGUAUAUUGCUCGUUCCCAGAGUGACUCGAUGAGCAAAUUCAAAUUGUGCUCUCGCGAGAACUCUGGAUUUCCAGGGUAUUAUCGGCUCUAGAAAAUCUGUAUCGGCCCUCAAAAAUCUGUAUCGGUCGAUCCCUAAGAGAGAGACAAAGCCCGAAAGAAUUAGACAGAAAAGAGUAAGUAGCAUGAGAGAGGGAGAUGUAUAUAUAGGAUAGUGAAGGACGUGAACCCAAUAAUGGGCUGCCCCACCAUCACAGGGAGAGAGAGAGAGAGAGAGAGAGAGAGAGAGAGAGAGACAGAGAGACAGAGAGACAGAGAGACAGAGAGACAGAGAGAGAUUCAGGGUGUUUUAGCCAUAUGGAAUAGCUUAAAUGAAUUUGGACCUGGGGAGGCUGUUGCACGGUGGCUGCUGCACAAUCGAGAGAGAGAGAGAGAGAGAGAGAGAGAGAGAGAGAGAGACCCUCUAUUCAUUGAGAUGGACAGCGGUGGUAACUCGAGUGAUCCGAAAGGCGCUUCGUUUUACCUUUCCUUCCCUCCCGGACCCCCGACAAGCUCACCACAGGGGC